rnacentral:misc_RNA from 1 species
CCAAUAGCGUAUAUUAAAGUUGUUGCAGUUAAAAAGCUCGUAGUUGAAUUUCGGGAUCAAGUCGUCGGUCGUGCCUCGGUACGCACUGGUGACAUUGGUUUCUCCCUUCUGAAGAACCUUGAUGUCAUUAAUUUGGUGUCUUGGGGAAUCAGGACUGUUACUUUGAAAAAAUUAGAGUGUUUAAAGCAGGCUCACGCUUGAAUACAUUAGCAUGGAAUAAUGAAAUAGGACAUUUGAUUCUAUUUUGUUGGUUUCUAGGAUCGACGUAAUGAUUAAUAGGGAUAGUUGGGGGCAUUAGUAUUCAAUUGGCAGAGGUGAAAUUCUUGGAUUUAUUGAAGACUAACUACUGCGAAAGCAUUUGCCAAGGAUGUUUUCAUUAAUCAAGAACGAAAGUUAGGGGAUCGAAGGCGAUCAGAUACCGCCCUAGUUCUAACCAUAAACGAUGCCAACCAGCGAUUAGCCUGAGUUCCUUAAAUGACUCGGCUAGCAGCUUCCG